rnacentral:tRNA from 1 species
UGGCGACUGGGGAACGGUGUGUGGCGAACGCUUCGACAUGGAUGAUGCACUGGUGGCUUG